rnacentral:rRNA from 1 species
GACGAACGCUGGCGGCGUGCUUAACACAUGCAAGUCGAACGGAAAGGCCCUGCUUUUGUGGGGUGCUCGAGUGGCGAACGGGUGAGUAACACGUGAGUAACCUGCCCUUUACUUUGGGAUAACUUCAGGAAACUGGGGCUAAUACCGGAUAGGAGCUCCUGCUGCAUGGUGGGGGGGGGAAAGUUUCGGCGGUUGGGGAUGGACUCGCGGCUUAUCAGCUUGUUGGUGGGGUAGUGGCUUACCAAGGCUUUGACGGGUAGCCGGCCUGAGAGGGUGACCGGCCACAUGGGGACUGAGAUACGGCCCAGACUCCUAUGGGAGGCAGCAGUGGGGAAUAUUGCACAAUGGGCGGAAGCCUGAUGCAGCAGCGCCGCGUGCGGGAUGACGGCCUUCGGGUUGUAAACCGCUUUCGCCUGUGACGAAGCGUGAGUGACGGUAAUGGGUAAAGAAGCACCGGCUAACUACGUG